rnacentral:lncRNA from 10 species
UCCUCCCCAAUCUUCUGCGUCACAAAACUUUCCACUCCGGAAACGCAGCCUCCCCGGCUGCGGCGCAGGGCCCCCGGACCCUGCGGAACCUGGGCUGAAGCGAAAAAGCCAGCGGAAGGAACCCGGGAAAAAACAAGAAACCCAUUCCAUCCUCCUUUCCAGGCCUUCGCCCGCCCGAGACCCGCCGUCUCCCGGAGUUGGCCAAGUGGCUGGAAGUCCACCUACAAUGGGCAUGCCGUCCUGGAACAUCUCUCUUCUCUAUCUUGGAUUCGGUUCUAUGUCCCCCUAUGUUAUUGGGGACAGAAUUGUGCCCAGACAAGAAAAUGAUGUUUCCCAGCCUCCCCUGCAGCUGAGUGGGGACAACCAUUGAGAUGCCGUUGCAGGGCUCCGCUUUGGAGCGGGCAUUGGAGGAAUUCUUUGACCACCAAGCAGCCUCCAUACCUCCCUCCUACAUAACAGAGCCACCGAGAGGCUGUUUGCAUUCUGCCUGCUUUCUCUUUUUCCGUUGCAGUAGUUUAUUAAUUAGUGUGCAAAAAAUAAAAAGGAGGUAAUAACCUUAUUUAUGUGCUAGU